AGCUCGAGUUUCUCUUCAUUGUCGCAUAAAUCUUUCGCCUUUUUACUAAAGAUUUCCGUGGAGGGAGCUUUUGCGAGUGACCUGUAUUUUUUGGGGGCUCUGCUCACAGCAGAGCU
ensembl:snRNA U5 U5 spliceosomal RNA